AACGAACGCUGGCGGCAUGCCUAACACAUGCAAGUCGAACGAGACCUUCGGGUCUAGUGGCGCACGGGUGCGUAACGCGUGGGAACCUGCCCUUAGGUUCGGAAUAACUCCCCGAAAGGGGUGCUAAUACCGGAUAAUGUCUUCGGACCAAAGAUUUAUCGCCUUUGGAUGGGCCCGCGUUGGAUUAGCUAGUUGGUAGGGUAAAAGCCUACCAAGGCGACGAUCCAUAGCUGGUCUGAGAGGAUGAUCAGCCACACUGGGACUGAGACACGGCCCAGACUCCUACGGGAGGCAGCAGUGGGGAAUAUUGGACAAUGAGCGAAAGCCUGAUCCAGCAAUGCCGCGUGAGUGAUGAAGGCCUUAGGGUUGUAAAGCUCUUUUACCCGGGAUGAUAAUGACAGUACCGGGAGAAUAAGCACCGGCUAACUCCGUG
rnacentral:rRNA from 1 species